GACGAACUGUGCGAACGUUAUUCGGAAUCACUGGGCUUACAGGGUGCGUAGGCGGCCACGUAAGUAGGGUGUGAAAUCCCCCGGCCCAACCGGGGAACUGCGCUCUAAACUACAUGGCUUGAGUGAGCUAGGGGUCCACGGAACUUCCAGUGGAGCGGUGAAAUGUGUUGAUAUUGGAAGGAACACCGGAGCCGAAAGGGGUGGACUGGGGCUCAACUGACGCUGAGGCACGAAAGCCAGGGUAGCGAAC
rnacentral:rRNA from 1 species